AGCGAACGCUGGCGGCAGGCUUAACACAUGCAAGUCGAGCGGUCGUAGCAAUACGGCAGCGGCAGACGGGAGAGUAACACGUGGGAACGUGCCCUUUAGUUCGAAACAACCAAAGGAAACUUUGGCUAAUACCGGAUACGCCCUCACGGGGAAAGAUUUAUCGCUAAAGGAUCGGCCCGCGUCUGAUUAGCUAGUUGGUGGGGUAAUGGCCCACCAAGGCGACGAUCAGUAGCUGGUCUGAGAGGAUGAUCAGCCUCACUGGGACUGAGACACGGCCCAGACUCCUACGGGAGGCAGCAGUGGGGAAUAUUGGACAAUGGGGGCAACCCUGAUCCAGCCAUGCCGCGUGAGUGAUGAAGGCCUUAGGGUUGUAAAGCUCUUUCGUUGGGGAAGAUAAUGACGGUACCCAAAGAAGAAGCCCCGGCUAACUUCGUGCCAGCCGCCGCAGUAAUAC
rnacentral:rRNA from 1 species